GAUGAACGCUGGCGGCGUGCCUAAUACAUGCAAGUCGAGCGAACAGACGAGGAGCUUGCUCCUCUGACGUUAGCGGCAGACGGGUGAGUAACACGUGUAUAACCUACCUAUCAGACUGGUAUAACUUCGGGAAACCGGAUCUAAUCCCGUAUAAUAUAUUGAACCGCAUGGUGCAAUAGUAAAAUACGGCUUUGCGGUCACUUAUCGAUGGAUCCGGGCCGCAUUAGCUAGUUGUUAAGGUAACGGCCUACCAAGGCAACGAUGCGUAGCCGACCGGACAGGGGGAUAGGCCACCCGGGAGGUGGACCGCGGUCCAUGGUCCUGCGGUAGGGAGCAGUCGGGAAUCGGAGGCAGUAGGGGGAAGCCUGGCGGAACGACGGGGAGUGAGAUACAGAGGUCUCCGGAUCGUAAUGCCCUGUUACUGGGUAAGAACAAAUGUGUCAGGAGCCAUGGACGUCUUGACGGUACCUGAUCAGAAAGCAACGGCUAACUACGUG
rnacentral:rRNA from 1 species